CUGGGUGUGGCGCAGAGUGGUAGCGCGCUACCUUGGGGUGGUAGAGGCCGCAGGUUCAAAUCCAGUCACUCGGA
rnacentral:tRNA from 1 species